CGAUGGAUACUAGGCGUUUGCGGAGUAUCUGACCCUCCGCAGUGCCGGAGCCAACGCGUUUAAGUAUCCCCGCCCUGGGGGAGUACGCACCGCAAAGUGUGAAACUCAAAAGGAAUUUGACGGGGCCCGCACAAGCGGUGAGAGUAUGUGGUUUAAAUUCGAUGCAACGCGAAGAACCUUACCAAGACUUGACAUGUCGCGGAUUCUGGUGAAAACUGGAAGUGGCCUUACGGGAGAUCGAACACAAGUGGGCUGCCAUGGCUGGUCGUCAGCUUCGUGUCGUGAGAAUGUUGGGUUAAGUCCCCGCAACCAAGCGCAACCCUCGUGUCUCUAAUUGUCCAGCAUUAAAUUGGGCACUCUACAGAGACUGCCGGUGACAAACCAGAGGAAGGUGGGGGAUGACGUCAAGUCAGCAUGCCCCUUACUUCUUGGGCUACACACGUACUACAAUGCUCCGAACAGAGGGCGGCGAGCUAGCGAUAGCGAGCAAAUCCCGGAAAUCGGAGCUCACUUCACAUCGUAGGCUGCAACUCCCCUGCGUGAAGGAGGAA
rnacentral:rRNA from 1 species